CCCUUCUGCCUCCCAAGGCCAAUCUCAAGGGUAGGGGAGAGAUCCAGAGAACCUCCGGGGAGCACUCACUUUUUCCUCAGAAACUGAUAUCCCUGCAGGGUGGCCUUGUAGACCCCACAGGACAGUCACUUCAGCCUAGGACACACACACACACACACACACACACACACACACACUGAGCCCAACCCCAGCUGUCAGUUGGAAAGGAUAUGAACUCUUUCCUUUUCACACAGCCUUUGGCCACGGACAUCCCAUUUCCCCAGCCCUGCCCCCUCUGCCUGGGCCAUUGAGCACAGGGCACCCAGUGGCCAGCACCUCCAUCGAGGAUGCUAAUGGAGCUCCCACCAUGUACAAGACCCUGUGUGAGCACUUUGCACUGUCCCGUCCAGCCUGGUGGCCUCCCUCCCCUGCGGGAGCGUAAGAGUCUGCUGUCACUCAAACCUGCCCCUCACCCCUACUCCCCAGCUCCUAGCCUCAAAUACCGCCCUCCUUCCUCCGGCGGUUGUUUCCUCACGAUUACCACCCAAGUCGCAGUGUUGGCCUGCUGAGGCUGUAACUUGAAAGCUCUGGGUGAAACACGUGCACGGUGUCUUUACCGGUUGGCUAAAUCCCACAGCUUGCAGUCGCUUGCAUCGUCUCUGUGGACCCUUAGACAUGGGGCCUUUGGAUAAGAAGUAACUUCCCUGAUGAUCUGCUUUCUUGGGGAAACUCAUCUUGAUUUCGGUAUUCGGUAACGGGGCAAACUGAUUCCGGAAAGGACCAGACUGUAAAGAUUUUGGGCUUUGCAGGCCAUACAGUGUCGGCUGUAGCUACUCAAUUCGGCCCUUGUAGUAAAAGCAGCACAGACGAUAGGUAAAUAAACAGACAUGGCUGUGUUCUAAUGAAACCUUAUCCACAAAAACAAGCAGGGAGCUGGAUUUGGCCCCCAGGCUGUAGAUGGCUUAUUGCUGAUCUCCGCCUAGAAGACGUAUCUUGGCAUCACGGCUUAAUCGAGCAGAUGAAACGGGUCCGGAAGACCUCAGUGUGGCCUCAGAGCGUCUGGGUGACGAGGCCAGGUCCAACCCUAACAGCGGGGUGAUCCCCAAUCUCAGUUUCUUCACUUAAAAAUGGGGCUAAUCGGGGAUGGAUGUGACGAGGUACAUCAGUCCAGAUAUCCCACUCUCAGAGGCCCCUGCUGGGGGGGCUGAAAUUAGCCAUGGGCGUGAAACCCUGGUGAGCACUUUCAGAAACUCGAAAACGCAUACACAUACACAUUGCACACGUCCAUGGCCCACUGUGAGCCUGAGCACCAUCUGAGGACUGAAUAGGGUGGGGGGAGGCAGAGGGUCCUGGCAUGACCGGUCCAGGGGCCUGAGCUUGACCUGGUAGGUGCAUGCAGAAGCUGAAAAUUUGCGGAUAUUACCACCGGCUUCUUGGCGUUCCUGGAAAUAAUGGCGAGCAAGCCGAGGGUUUUACGCGGCUCUUGAAUUGCUCUGGGACUUCAGCUUCCGCUCUUUCAGCUCCAGCUGGGCCCAUUCCAGCUGCGGGGCAGAAAGUCUUUCCGGAGCUGUAGCAGGAGUGAGCGUAGCAAGAUCACCUGCUGGUGUGGACGACCUCGGGCACGCGAACGUUUUCGGUACCACUUCGGUAAUCACUUCCCGAGAAGCCUGUAAGGGGAGGACGGAAAUGGGCAGUCACUUGUCCCCUUCCUCCUCUUUCCCAGGACCUGGUCAGGCACUUCGAAGGCGCUCUAUCCACACCGGCUCUUCCAAGAAGCAUGGGUCCUUGCUCGCUGUCCCGGGGGCUGGGCCCCUAGAGCCUCAGGAUUUGGGCUACAUGGGCAUCUGGGCACCACUCCAGGGGCCUCUGUGUCAUUUCCUGGCUACCUUCAGGCACACAGAGGUUGUUAGGCGGGGCAGGCCUUUAAAGGCCCAGCCUUGCUGGGAGCCCACAUAGCAUCGCAGGAAAGGUGACAACCUCUCACUGCCCCUCUGUUCUGGGCCAACACACUCAUUUCACAGAUGAAGAAACUGAGGCCCAGAGAAGGAAGUAGCAAGCCAUUCUGAUGUGACUUAUGCCUCCAGCUGACAAACCAGUAGCCUUGAGUUCAAAUCCUGGAUCGGGCACUUGAUAACGGAAUGACCGUGGACAAGUUGCUUGCCCUCUCUGAGCCUCCACUCCUGUGGAAAGUGGGACUAACACUACGAGUGUCUUCUUAGGGCCAUCGUGAGGCAAUCCGUGAGGUAACGCGGAGUGCCUGGCACCCAGGACGCGGAGUAAUACAGAAAAGAGUAGUUACUACUGUCAUGGAGCAAAGAGAGCAGGCCAGAAGAUUCUCGGAGGCUCCCAGCCCUACCUUUGCCCCCCAAGUCAAUAGGCGGAGAUUCCUGGCAAAGACAGCAACCUGGAAAUCAGGUGAGUAAGUGCUGGAACUCCACGAGAAAGGACUCCAAGCGUAAGAAAGGGCAGCAGCGUGAGACCUGAGUGAUCGUUGGUCUAUCCCAUUGGACUUUGGACACUUCAAGAAACUAUUAUCCCCGUUUUAACAAAUGUCACCACUAAGGCUGAGCGUAAACAGCUACUUGCAGUGGCAGAGCCAGUAAAGGACAGACUCAGGGGUUAAACACAGGACUUCACUGCCCAGAGCCCCACUGACUCUACUCUUCUAGGUUCGGGGGCCCAAUCGUGCAGAUUCGUGUUAAUUCAGCACAAAGUAACUGAACACCUGCUCCCCACACGACCCCUAUCCAGGCAUUGUCUACACACCAGAGAGAAGGAGAUGGCUGGGAAGGGCGACUGACACGGAACUCUUGACGUAAAUGUCUAAAAGAGAAAACAGGAUUUUCUCUGCCAGCUCCCAACGCGGUUCUGAACGCAGACUCCACAGAGAGAACCCAAGAUGAACGGGCACGAAACAAAAAUGCGUCUGCAUUUUCACCAACCUCUAAGUGAAACUUAGCAUUCCUUUCCAUUAGGAAUGUGGCAACAAACCACUAUAAUAAGGGCAGGAUCAGGGACUCUGCGGCCGGCAGAAAUCGCCUACGUUUCCAUAUCAUACUGUGAUAGUACAGAUACCCCAAGCUCUCAGUUCACAUUUACUACUCUUGCAGCAUUACAGUUUGCUGUCAAUCCUGCUGCUAGGCUUCACCAUUGAAUGUUAAUAAGGAAGCGCAUUGCUCUUCUGUCACAAA